ensembl:lncRNA novel transcript, antisense to HDDC2
ACAACUACCCAGCUGAUGCUGUACAUAUAGCUCACAUCCAGAGAAAGAACAAAGCCAUGUCAAAACCGCCUGUGAUUCCUUGAGUGUUUUUCCAGCUACCCACCACCUGCCCACCGUCUCCUCUCGGACCUCAGCUUGGGCUAGAAUCUGACAAUUGGUGCUGUAAGCAGGAUCAUGAGAUUUAGAUGUGGCGGUGCCUCUCUUGCAGCAACAUUUGGCAGCAUGCAGUUGGGCCAUCAAUGAAUCCAAGGUCCAAGGGUCUGGAUUAUCUGCCAAAUUAUUGGAAGUUUCCUGUCUAGUGCUGGAGUUCCAAGCUGGACCUGGUGGUUCAAACCUUGAAUGAACAGCCAUGGAAAGACCGCCCAGCCCUGGUGGAGGCUUUAUUACACUGGGCCACCACCCCUAUUCAGUUGCAGAUACACACUAAGGAUGACCUCCUCCGACCAGGUUAACAUGCUCCAACUGCAUUGUAAACUGCGCCCACACCUGUGCUGAGGUGAUCAAUGUUUCCAACUUUCGGGUCUGCACUGCCCUUCCAGCAGCAGCUGCAGAUGACUUGCCUUGGCAUAUACAUUCAGUGUCUACAGAGAACUGGACAUGGCUGGAGACUUGGGGUCCCGUGGUUGACAUCUGGAAUGCAACGCAGCAAGCUUUGGACAAAGGACGCUGCAAGAUCCAUGGUGCUCCCAUCAUGUGGCUGGCCCAUAGCAUUUAUGAUGGCUGGGGCUGGCUAGCGGGGGAACAUGUAGUACCCCCAGCCCAGGUGUCGCAGAGCAUAGAGCAACACUGGGGUAACACCACUGUGGGAUAGGUACCCAUCACAGCCUGUGUAAACAUAACACAUGUCACCAUACUGAAGGUAUGCUGGAACAAGCAGCCCCCAAGUUUGGGCCCCAAGGGACUUUGUGCCCCCUGGGAGUUUAUGGGUCUGUGGGCACACAGGGUGGCCUUACCUACCAGUGAACUGGACGGAAUGUUGGAACUGGGGGUGGCCACUGUUCUCUCCACAUUGCCCAGACACUGCAUAACUGGAAGGCGCUACACUCUCAUUUUUUGUGAGUGCGACGAGCUCCCCAGUGGUUCUACCCCUUGACAGUGACUAUCCCUGCGGCGGGUGUCACAACUGUAGAAGCACAAGUUACUGCUCUUGCAGAGCACACCACUCGGGCUCUGAAUUACACCCAAGUGGCCCUCCUCCUGUUAAUGGAUGAGGCUGGUCAGAUGAGAAAGGUGGUAUUGCAAAACUGAAUGGCCUUAGACAUAGUAACCUGCUGCACAAGGAGGCACCUGUGCCCUUUUAGGAACACAAUGUUGUACCUUUAUCCCUGACAAUUGGCAGAACAUAACAGCAGCCCUGCAAGAGGUCUCAUGGGAGAUUAAGGUGGUGGAGAGCCUUACUGACAACCCCCUGCAGAGAUGGUGGGCAUCUCUGGGCUGUGGCCUACGCUGGGCCCUUACAGUCCUAAGUAGCAUAGCUGGGAUCCUGGUAAUGAGCUGUUGCUCUCUGUAGUGUUGUGGGUUAUGGAUUCAGGGCUCCACCCUAUGGGCACGUAUCCCUACCUGAAAGACUCCUCUCAGCCUAGGGGAUGGAGUGUAAGGGAAAUGGCUGCAUUUUAGUCAGGAGUAGGCUGAGGCAGCCUUCUGGCACAGCAUGACUCAGUGGGUUUGGAACGCAGGCACACAACUCUACACAUUAUGUAACCAUGCCACGUGAGGCACAUUAGGUGACCAUUCACAUGAGCCUGUGCUUGGCUGGGAUCCAUUAUUGUCUCUAAAAGGUUUAACUACCCUGCUGAUGCUGUACAUAUGGCUCGCGCCUAGAGAGAGAAUAACGCCAUGUCAAAACUGCCUACGAUUCCUCAAGUUUUUCCAGCUACCUGCCACCAGCCCACCAACUCCCUUUGGACCUCAGUUUGGGCUAGAAUCUGACAAACAGUAACAAAUAAUUCUUUUUUCUUGAGUUCAAACCAUGAAUAAUUAUUUACUCUGCAUUGUAAUUAUAGGGUUGUCAUUCAGAAGACAAAGUCUAGGCAAAUGGCAGGUAUCUUCUAAGGACUAACAUUUUUAAGUAAUAAUGCUCAUUUAUAGACAUUGCUGGUAGGCUCAGGAGCUGUUAUUUUGUUGAUCUUCAUUUUGUUAUUUUCUUAUCAUCAAAUGUUUUAUUUAUAACACUAUUAUAUUUUUUUCUUUCUUUCUUUAAAAGAUGUAUUUCCUCAGGAAGGAAGGUUUAGGACUAACUGAAAACUCCCAUUUCGUAGGUAGAUGAUGAACUGAGAUAAUGGUUAAGUGACUAGUUAUAAAGUCUAAC